CAUGUGCUUUGCGUGGAAAAUAAGUGGAAAGACACUAAAUAAAAAAGAGACAAGCACUUGCAGUAAUAACAAUACAGGUAAGUAGUAGACUGGAGUGGAGACGACGGAAAAACAGGUAAUAAAAGAGAUACUACACUGGAACAAAGACGAGACAAAACAGCUACAGGGAAGACUAGAAGCAUCGGCCGGCAUAGCAAAACACAAUGCUUGUAAAGACAUUGCGUUGCAUACCGGCCGACCCCGUCGUCCCCCCUGGUCGUCGAAAUUGGCGUCAUCCAGAGUCGUCAGAGGUAGCUGCAAUUAGCACCUCGUCGUCGUUGUGGCUGUGGCUGCCCUCUUGGAGAACCAGUGGCACUGGUCCGGCCACCAGCUGGGAGUCAGGAGUAGACGGCACACAUAUCACUGUGGCGACACGGGUCCGGCCGCCAAAGUGAAAUGGAUGUGAGUGUGUGUGUGCGUCGGUAAUUGUGGCCCUGAUGUAGAGCGAGUGGCACUGUUCCGGCCACCAGCUGUGGGCAAUGGUGGACAAUGACACACAUAACUCGAACGGCACAGGUCCGGCCGCCCAAGUGUAAUGGUUGUGUGUGUGUGUGUGUGUCUGAAUGGCUGGCGUUAAGACCAUAGGGCACUCUGAAUGCCAUGGCACUGGAUCCGGCCACCAACUAAGGACGAUGGCGAUGGCAUAACUCGAACGGCACAGGUCCGGCCGCCCAAGUGUAGUGGAUGAGUGUGUGUGUGUAGAUGAUUUACUUAAUUGCUUUGAUGGCAGCAGCGUCCGUUGUUAAUUUUUGUUGUGGCAUGCGAUUGAUAUGCAUUUGUCUUUUAAUCCAUUGCAGUGGCAGAGAUGUGUCCAAUUAGUACACAGCGUUCCAGGAUAUCUGGUUGUCAAGAAGGAUCCGUCUCUGGAGU
rnacentral:sRNA from 1 species